rnacentral:rRNA from 1 species
CCUACGGGGGGCUGCAGUGGGGAAUUUUGGACAAUGGGGGCAACCCUGAUCCAGCCAUGCCGCGUGCGGGAAGAAGGCCUUCGGGUUGUAAACCGCUUUUGUCAGGAGAGAAAUCUCUUGGGCUAAUACCCUGAGAGGAUGACGGUACCUGAAGAAUAAGCACCGGCUAACUACGUGCCAGCAGCCGCGGUAAUACGUAGCGUGAAAGCGUUAAUCGGAAUUAGUGGGCGUGAAGCGUGCGCAGGGGGUUGAAAUCCCCGGGCUUAACCGGGGAACUGCACUUGUGACUUCACGGCUAGAGUACGGCAGAGGGGGAUGGAAUUCCGCGGGUAGCAGUGAAAUGCGUAGAUAUGCGGAGGAACACCGAUGGCGAAGGCAGUCCCCUGGGCCUGUACUGACGCUCAUGCACGAAAGCGUGGGGAGCAAACAGGAUUAGAUACCCGAGUAGUC